rnacentral:rRNA from 1 species
UACGUAGGGGGCAAGCGUUAUCCGGAUUUACUGGGUGUAAAGGGGGCGCAGACGGCAGCGCAAGCCAGGAGUGAAAGCCCGGGGCUCAACCCCGGGCAUGCAUUGGAAACUGGCGGGCUGGAGUGCCGGAGAGGUAAGCGGAAUUCCUAGUGUAGCGGUGAAAUGCGUAGAUAUUAGGAGGAACACCAGUGGCGAAGGCGGCUUACUGGACGGCAACUGACGCUGAGGCUCGAAAGCGUGGGGAGCAAACAGG